UACAGAGGUCCCGAGCGUUGUUCGGAUUCACUGGGCGUAAAGGGUGCGUAGGUGGCUUGAAAAGUUUGAUGUGAAAGCUCAGGGCUUAACCCUGAAAUGGCAUUGAAUACUGUCGAGCUGGAGGUUUGGAGGGGGGACUGGAAUUCUUGGUGUAGCAGUGAAAUGCGUAGAUAUCAAGAGGAACACCAGUGGCGAAGGCGAGUCCCUGGACAACACCUGACACUGAGGCACGAAAGCUAGGGGAGCAAACAG
rnacentral:rRNA from 1 species